GGGAUACUUUUUACUGAGUUCAUUCAUUUGUUUUAGUCUUUUAAUAAGUAUACUACAGUUAUUUCAUUAACCUGUUCUCAAGUGGUUUAGCUACCAUUCUGCCAUUUAAGCACCAGAUACUUCAGUUUAUUCUCUGGGGGAACUUCAUUUGCAUCUAUGUUUUUAGCUAUCUGUGAUAACUUGUUAAAUAUUAAAAAGAUAUUUUGCUUCUAUUGGAACAUUUGUAUACUCGCAACUAUAUUUCUGUAAACAGCUGCAGUCAAAAAUAAAACAUUGAAAGUUUUC
rnacentral:lncRNA from 1 species